rnacentral:lncRNA from 1 species
AUCCUGUUCACAAGAAAAUCCCUGUUCUCAUUCACAAUGGAAAGCCAAUAGCUGAGUCAAUGGUCAUUCUUGAAUACAUAGAUGAGGCUUUUGAAGGUCCUUCCAUCUUGCCUGAAGACCCUUAUGACCGUGCUGUAGCUCGUUUCUGGGCUAAGUUCCUCGAGGAUAAGGUAACUCUUCUUGCUAUGUAUUCCUCUUUGCAGAAUUUAGUAAAAGUUUCGAUUGCUAUAUGUUUGAGGAAAUUUAUGUGGUGGGUUUUGAUUCUUGAAUUAUUGUCUUCUUUUUAUAGAUGGGAACCACGAAGACCCUUAUGACCGUGCUAUAGCUCGUUUUUGGGCUAAGUUCCUCGAGGAUAAGGUAACUCUUCUUGCUAUGUAUUCCUCUUUGCAGAAUUUAGUAAAAGUUUCGAUUGUUGUUAAGUUCUGAU